rnacentral:rRNA from 1 species
UUGACGGAGAGUUUGAUCCUGGCUCAGAGCGAACGCUGGCGGCGUGGAUAAGGCAUGCAAGUCGAGCGAUCCCGCAGCAAUGCGGGAUAGCGGCAAACGGGUGAGUAUCGCGUAGGUUACCUACCCUGAAGCGUGGGAUAACCCACCGAAAGCUGGGCUAAUACCACAUGUGUCUCCUGGACCGCAUGGUUCGGGAGGGAAAGAUGGCCUCGACCGUAAGGUUGCUAUCACUUCAGGAGGGACCUGCGUCCCAUCAGCUAGUUGGUAGGGUCACGGCCUACCAAGGCGUAUGACGGGUAGCUAGCCUUAGAGGACGGUUAGCCACACUGGGACUGAGACACUGCCCAGACUCCUACGGGAGGCUG